rnacentral:rRNA from 1 species
CCUACGGGUGGCAGCAGUGGGGAAUAUUGCACAAUGGGGGAAACCCUGAUGCAGCGACGCCGCGUGAGCGAUGAAGUAUUUCGGUAUGUAAAGCUCUAUCAGCCGGGAAGCAAAUGACGGUACCUGAGUAAGAAGCACCGGCUAACUACGGACCAGAAGCCGCGGCAAUACGUAAGGGGCCAGCGUUAUCCGGAGUUACUGGGGGUAAAGGGGGCGUAGACGGUACUGCAAGUCAGAAGUGAAAACCCGGGGCCUAACCCCGGGACUGCAUUUGAAACUGUAAGGCUCGAGUGAGGGAGAGGCAUGCGGAAUGCCUAGUGUAGCGGUGAAAUGCGUAGAUAUUAGGCGGAACACCAGUGGCGAAGGCGGCCUGCUGGAGGACGACUGACGCUCAGGCACGAAAGUGUGGGGAGCGAACAGGAUUAGAUACCCGAGUAGUC